UGAACGCUGGCGGCGUGCUUAACACAUGCAAGUCGCACGAGAACGCUUCAGCUUGCUGAAGUUAGUAAAGUGGCGCACGGGUGAGUAACGCGUGGGUAAUCUACCCUCGAAUUGGGGAUAACAUCGCGAAAGCGAUGCUAAUACCGAAUAAUAUCUUAAAAACCUCGGUUUUAAAGAUCAAAGGAGGCCUCUACUUGUAAGCUUCUGUUUGAGGAUGAGCCCGCGUACCAUUAGCUUGUUGGUAGGGUAAUGGCCUACCAAGGCUACGAUGGUUAGCUGGUCUGAGAGGAUGAUCAGCCACACUGGAACUGACACACGGUCCAGACUCCUACGGGAGGCAGCAGUGAGGAAUUUUGCGCAAUGGGGGAAACCCUGACGCAGCAACGCCGCGUGAGUGAUGAAGGCUUUCGGGUCGUAAAGCUCUGUCAAGUGGGAAGAACCCACAUGGUGAUAAUACCACUAUGUGUUGACGGUACCACUGAAGGAAGCACCGGCUAACUCC
rnacentral:rRNA from 1 species